CCUACGGGAGGCAGCAGUGGGGAAUUUUGGACAAUGGGCGCAAGCCUGAUCCAGCCAUGCCGCGUGUGGGAAGAAGGCCUUCGGGUUGUAAACCACUUUUGUCAGGGAAGAAACGGCUUUUUCUAAUACAGAGAGCUAAUGACGGUACCUGAAGAAUAAGCACCGGCUAACUACGUGCCAGCAGCCGCGGUAAUACGUAGGGUGCAAGCGUUAAUCGGAAUUACUGGGCGUAAAGCGUGCGCAGGCGGCUUUGCAAGACAGAUGUGAAAUCCCCGGGCUCAACCUGGGAACUGCAUUUGUGACUGCAUGGCUAGAGUACGGUAGAGGGGGAUGGAAUUCCGCGUGUAGCAGUGAAAUGCGUAGAUAUGCGGAGGAACACCGAUGGCGAAGGCAAUCCCCUGGACCUGUACUGACGCUCAUGCACGAAAGCGUGGGGAGCAAACAGGAUUAGAUACCCUGGUAGUCCACGCCCUAAACGAUGUCAACUGGUUGUUGGACGGCUUGCUGUUCAGUAACGAAGCUAACGCGUGAAGUUGACCGCCUGGGGAGUACGGCCGCAAGGUUGAAACUCAAAGGAUUGACGG
rnacentral:rRNA from 1 species